GGAGCGAUGCCCGAGUGGACGAAGGGACCCGGCUGGAAACCGGGUAGGGCCCAAAAAGCCCUCCGGGGUUCGAAUCCCCGUCGCUCCGCCA
rnacentral:tRNA from 1 species